rnacentral:rRNA from 1 species
CGCCUGUUUAUCAAAACAUCUUUUCUUGUUAGUUUUUGAAGUAUGGCCUGCCCGCUGACAUUUGGUGUUGAAGGGCCGCGGUAUUUUGACCGUGCAAAGGUAGCAUAAUCAUUAGUUCUUUAAUUGUGAUCUGGAAUGAAUGGCUUGACGAGGCACGGGCUGUCUUAGUGUUGAAUGUUUUAUUGAAUUUGGUCUUUGAGUUAAAAUUCUUAGAUGUUUUUGUGGGACGAGAAGACCCUAUAGAGUUUGACAUUUGGUUUAUUUACUUGUUUGUUGUUUGUUUAUUUUUGGUGAGUGGGCUUUUUGUUUUGUUGGGGUGAUGGGAGGAAUGUACUUAACUCCUCUUAGUUUUGGUUAUAUUGAUUUAUAAUUGUUUGAUCCAUUUAUUUUGAUUAUAAGACUAAAUUACCUUAGGGAUAACAGCGUAA